AACAAGGCGUACCUGCGGACCUGCGGAAGGAUCAUUACAAGUGACCCCGGUCUAACCACCGGGAUGUUCAUAACCCUUUGUUGUCCGACUCUGUUGCCUCCGGGGCGACCCUGCCUUCGGGCGGGGGCUCCGGGUGGACACUUCAAACUCUUGCGUAACUUUGCAGUCUGAGUAAACUUAAUUAAUAAAUUAAAACUUUCAACAAUGGAUCU
rnacentral:misc_RNA from 1 species